GACAGAGGGUGCAAGCGUUAUCCGGAUUCACUGGGUUUAAAGGGUGCGUAGGUGGGUUGGUAAGUCAGUGGUGAAAUCUCCGAGCUUAACUUGGAAACUGCCAUUGAUACUAUCAGUCUUGAAUAUUGUGGAGGUCAGCGGAAUAUGUCAUGUAGCGGUGAAAUGCUUAGAUAUGACAUAGAACACCAAUUGCGAAGGCAGCUGGCUACACAUAUAUUGACACUGAGGCACGAAAGCGUGGGGAUCAAACAGG
rnacentral:rRNA from 1 species